GCAAGUCGAACGAGAAAGCAUCUUCGGAUGUGAGUAGAGUGGCGCACGGGUGAGUAACACGUAGGUAACCUACCCAUUGAUGGGGGAUAACCAGGAGAAAUUCUGGCUAAUACCGCGUAAGUUGGUAACAAGAAAGGAUGCUUCGGCAUUCGUCGAUGGAUGGGCCUGCGGAACAUUAGAUUGAUGGUGGGGUAAUGGCCUACCAUGUCUACGAUGUUUAGCUGGUCUGAGAGGAUGAUC
rnacentral:rRNA from 1 species